CUUAACACACGCAAGUCGAGGGGCAGCAUGGUCUUAGCUUGCUAAGGCCGAUGGCGACCGGCGCACGGGUGAGUAACACGUAUCCAACCUGCCGUCUACUCUUGGACAGCCUUCUGAAAGGAAGAUUAAUACAAGAUGGCAUCAUGAGUCCGCAUGUUCACAUGAUUAAAGGUAUUCCGGUAGACGAUGGGGAUGCGUUCCAUUAGAUAGUAGGCGGGGUAACGGCCCACCUAGUCUUCGAUGGAUAGGGGUUCUGAGAGGAAGGUCCCCCACAUUGGAACUGAGACACGGUCCAAACUCCUACGGGAGGCAGCAGUGAGGAAUAUUGGUCAAUGGGCGAGAGCCUGAACCAGCCAAGUAGCGUGAAGGAUGACUGCCCUAUGGGUUGUAAACUUCUUUUAUAAAGGAAUAAAGUCGGGUAUGCAUACCCGUUUGCAUGUACUUUAUGAAUAAGGAUCGGCUAACUCCGUGCCAGCAGCCGCGGUAAUACGGAGGAUCCGAGCGUUAUCCGGAUUUAUUGGGUUUAAAGGGAGCGUAGAUGGAUGUUUAAGUCAGUUGUGAAAGUUUGCGGCUCAACCGUAAAAUUGCAGUUGAUACUGGAUAUCUUGAGUGCAGUUGAGGCAGGCGGAAUUCGUGGUGUAGCGGUGAAAUGCUUAGAUAUCACGAAGAACUCCGAUUGCGAAGGCAGCCUGCUAAGCUGCAACUGACAUUGAGGCUCGAAAGUGUGGGUAUCAAACAGGAUUAGAUACCCUGGUAGUCCACACGGUAAACGAUGAAUACUCGCUGUUUGCGAUAUACGGCAAGCGGCCAAGCGAAAGCGUUAAGUAUUCCACCUGGGGAGUACGCCGGCAACGGUGAAACUCAAAGGAAUUGACGGGGGCCCGCACAAGCGGAGGAACAUGUGGUUUAAUUCGAUGAUACGCGAGGAACCUUACCCGGGCUUAAAUUGCAGAUGAAUUACGGUGAAAGCCGUAAGCCGCAAGGCAUCUGUGAAGGUGCUGCAUGGUUGUCGUCAGCUCGUGCCGUGAGGUGUCGGCUUAAGUGCCAUAACGAGCGCAACCCUUGUUGUCAGUUACUAACAGGUUCCGCUGAGGACUCUGACAAGACUGCCAUCGUAAGAUGUGAGGAAGGUGGGGAUGACGUCAAAUCAGCACGGCCCUUACGUCCGGGGCUACACACGUGUUACAAUGGGGGGUACAGAGGGCCGCUACCACGCGAGUGGAUGCCAAUCCCAAAAACCUCUCUCAGUUCGGACUGGAGUCUGCAACCCGACUCCACGAAGCUGGAUUCGCUAGUAAUCGCGCAUCAGCCACGGCGCGGUGAAUACGUUCCCGGGCCUUGUACACACCGCCCGUCAAGCCAUGGGAGCCGGGGGUACCUGAAGUGCGUAACCGCGAGGAGCGCCCUAGGGUAAAACUGGUGACUGGGGCUAAGA
rnacentral:rRNA from 1 species